rnacentral:tRNA from 1 species
GUCUUGCUAGCUCAGCUGAUAAAGCAUCAGACUUUUAAUCUGAGGGUCCAGGGUUCAGAUCCCUGGUCAGGUG